rnacentral:lncRNA from 11 species
AGGAAAAAAUUACACAUUUGAAUUGCUGUGAAGUUGCUAAAGUCGAAGGAACCUGGCCUGAAAACAGCUACCGAAUCUCAAUGCACACAUAUAUGCAUCUUAAACGGCCAUCAACACGUUGCCAGAGUUCAUGACCAAAAU